UGCAGUCGAGCGGAACGAUGCCUAGCUUGCUAGGAGGCGUCGAGCGGCGGACGGGUGAGUAAUGCAUAGGAAUCUGCCCGGUAGUGGGGGAUAACCUGGGGAAACCCAGGCUAAUACCGCAUACGCCCUACGGGGGAAAGCAGGGGAUCUUCGGACCUUGCGCUAUCGGAUGAGCCUAUGUCGGAUUACCUAGUUGGUGAGGUAACGGCUCACCAAGGCUGCGAUCCGUAGCUGGUCUGAGAGGAUGAUCAGCCACAUCGGGACUGAGACACGGCCCGAACUCCUACCGGAGGCGGCAGUGGGGAAUAUUGGACAAUGGGCGAAAGCCUGAUCCGGCCAUGCCGCGUGUGUGAAGAAUGCCUUCGGGUUGUAAAGC
rnacentral:rRNA from 1 species